rnacentral:rRNA from 1 species
GAUGAACGCUGGCGGCGUGCUUAACACAUGCAAGUCGAACGGAAAGGCUCCUGCUUGCAGGGGUACUCGAGUGGCGAACGGGUGAGUAACACGUGGGUGAUCUGCCCUGCACUUCGGGAUAAGCCUGGGAAACUGGGUCUAAUACCGGAUAGGACCACAUUUUGGAUGGUGUGGUGGAAAGUUUUUCGGUGUGGGAUGAGCUCGCGGCCUCUCAGCUUGUUUGUGGGGUAAUGGCCUACCAAGGCGUCGUCGGGUAGCCGGCCUGGGAGGGUGUACGGCGACAUUGGGACUGGGAAACGGCCCAGACUCCUACGGGGGGCAGCAGUGGGGAAUAUUGCACAAUGGGCGCAAGCCUGAUGCGGCGACGCCGCGUGGGGGAUGACGGCCUUCGGGUUGUAAACUCCUUUCGCUAGGGACGAAGCGUUUUUGUGACGGUACCUGGAGAAGAAGCACCGGCUAACUACGUG